AGGCAUUGUCCAGCCCGCCCAUUGAUUGCCCAUGAAAUUGGGCCUGUAAUAGCCAAGCUCCCACCUGAUGCUGUCCAAGGCCUUGCCUGUUGGGUGUGCUGCACCGUACAAAAACACUGGCACUGCAACAAUAGAGAAAAGGUAACCAAAAGAACCCACAAUGUGCAGAAAUACAUUUAUAAACAGCGUUCUAAAUAAUUAUAGAAUACUAAUUAGACCCACCUUGGAAUAGGCUGCCAAUGUCUGUUGCGACAGCCUUGGCAAGCCAAGCUGCUUCAUCCAAGGAUACCCGAGCCAAGGGAUGCAAAACAAUGUCAUCAACCACACCGAGCCGAGGGUGUGUACCAGAAUGCUGCUCCAGGUUUAUGGUCCCAUAAGCAGC
rnacentral:lncRNA from 1 species